rnacentral:lncRNA from 1 species
CCUCAACCACAAGACUAGUUGCAUAAUUUCAUAAAACGGCUACUAAACGUAACAAAACCUUAAUUAAAAAAGCUAUUAAGAAUAAUGUUAGAAAAUUCCCUAACUUGCUCCUGUAUUACCAAUUUCAGAAAGAACAUUUGUUUUAUCAUUUCCAGGAUAUGUAUUACAAACCAUCCCAAAUUUCAUAUACACAAAUCAUAAACUUAUAAACCUAAUAUUUUUGGAUCCGACCCCGUGACCUUAAUAUGCUCGAUCCAAAUACAAAUUGAAGAAUGAAGCUUACCUGGAUAGGAUUGACAAGCUAACUUCAAAAUACUGUAUUAUUCUAUAUCAUCCUACAUCAUAGCAAAUAUAUUUGGUGAACAAACUAAAAAAAUUAAGUGUCGUAAUAUCCCCUCAAAAGACAUUUAGAAAAUAAUAAUAUAGAAAAGUUAUACAUAUAAACUAUCUUCCCAGUUCUCAAAUAUAAAAUUUACAAGAUGAAAUGAUCUAAUCACAUUUGUGAGCCAUGAUUUGGCUCAAGUUGAACUCAUAACAUGGUGUUAUGGGCACAAUACCCUCCACGAAUCCACCAUGCUAUAAUUCUAAUACACAAUUGGCCAUUAUAGAGAGGAUUGAGCAAUGUUAUCUGCUUAUCUCCAAUAAAAAAAUUUGAUAAAAAGUUGCGAGCCAUCACUCUCUCCUUAAAAGUCUUCCUGAUAUUCCAGGGAAUCAUCCUAGCAUUAUGUAAGAGCCUAUCAUGUUCCUCUCUCUUAAUUAGACCUUUUAUUUAUUUCUUUUCAGUGAUGAAGUCAACACUUGUCGGGUUGUCUCCACAGUACCGUGCGAUUCAAAACAUUGACUCGUGCAAAAGACGUUAGGUUGACCCAAAAAUGUAACCACCAACUACACAUUGGCUUCGCUUUUGGACAUUUCUCCAUCUAAACUAAAGUACAAAUCUUUUAUUGCCCACAAAAGUCAUCAAUGCAUGCAUGUUCCCGGAUAAAAUAAAAAAUUAAAAUUAAAAAAUAUUAUGGUUAUCAAGUGUUUUUAUUAUUUUGAUUGAUCAUCUGAUAUGAAAUAUAAUACAUAAUUUUUAAAUAUAAUUGAUCAUUUAUUAGAAUAAUUAUGUCAGUAUUUGCGAAUGCGCUACAUUAUUUGGUAAAUAAGAAAAAGUAAAAACAAUGUUUGUGAUACCAUUGUUAAAUAAAAAGAUAAAGUUUCCUGGCACCCUCUGAAUUCAUCUGAAAUUACACUAAACCCCUUCAUUCUCUAAAAUCACAUUACUGCCUCCUAUUAGCAAAUAAUAUUUAACUUAAUUAUAGAGUUACUAAAAUACCCUUGAUUUAUUAUCAAAGUUUCUAGAGAAAUAGAGAGAAAAUUAUAAGGGGAUCCAAGCCACUACCUUCCAAGACCUUAAACUUCCAUUGGUACCUCCCAUGGCCUCUACGGCUCUACCUUCUACCACAAACUCUCAUUGUGACCCACCUCUACCUUUCACCUCCCACUACAACCCUCUUCACUCUCAAAAACUCUUGAAGGAUUAAGGUGUUUGUUUUGAAGAAUUGGAAACGGAUUGUGAGUUAGGGAAGAAGGGCUGAUCAAUAUUAAAGAGUGAUGGCUUUCAAUAAUGGUGGAUAUGCGAUUCAAGUGAGGAGGUAGGUGUAGUGGUGGUGGCGUUUAAAUGCUAAGGAAGAUGAAUUCAAGUAGAAUGGUAGAGAAUGAUAGUAAUAUCCCCUCAAAAAAUAUCUGAAAAAUAGUAAUAUAGAAAAUUAUGCAUAUAAACUAUCGUUACGGUUCUCAAAUUAUAAUUUGUAUAAGGAUAAAUGUAUUCUUCCAAUAAAACCUACAAAACCACAUUAAAUAAUGUCAUCAUACAGGUGACCACAUUAAAAUUUGUAUAAGAAUAAAUGUAUUUUUAAUCUUUUUGUCAAUUUGUUUUAUGAUUUUUUUGUGCUUUUUUAAUACCUGUAAAAUUAUUAUUUCAUACCACGAGUGCUAUGAUAAUCUACAUUUAGUGGGGGUAACAUUGGAAUAAGAUAUGCCACUAUAAAAAAUUGAACAUUUUUGGAAUAAGUUAUCAGAAUUAGGACUUAGUUGUGCACAACGAAAAUUGAUUAGACUUUAUAGUAAUAUUAAGGAAAAAAUUGAUUAGAUUUUAUAGUAAUCAUAUUUAUUGGUAAUCUUUCAUAGAUAUUUUUUGAAACGCUAGUUGUAUCAUUUAGAUUCCAAACAUAACGUCGUUAGGGCAUUUUUGACGGGAGCCAACAAUUUAGAGAAUAUCAAUAAAAGUAAGGGAGAGCAGUGCAGUUUUGAAAACCACAACGGACGUCCUUUCAGUUGUUAGAAACCUCAAGGAAGUAAAUGAAAUUAACUUAAUUGAUCGCAAGGCUAGAUAUUUAAAGGGGUUCAACUGUUGUUAUGCCAGGCAAUCCUGUAGUAGUAAUGUGGACCUUGUGGAAUCAGAGGAACAGACAUUUUUGAAGGAGCUCAAAGAAAUUGAGAGGAUUUGUUUGAAAGG